rnacentral:piRNA from 1 species
UNCACUCAUAGCGGUGCCUUUGUUCUUCUC